CCAUACAUAUAAGAGGCACUGCC
rnacentral:misc_RNA from 1 species